rnacentral:rRNA from 1 species
GACGAACGCUGGCGGCGCGCCUAAUACAUGCAAGUCGAGCGAGAACCGGGACUUCGGUCCCGGGGACAGCGGCGAACGGGUGCGUAACACGUGAGCAACCUGCCCCGAAGACCGGGACAAGCCGGGGAAACCUGGUCUAAUACCGGAUGUCCUCACCGCAUCGCAUGGUGUGGUGAGGAAAUGGAUUCCGCUUCGGGAUGGGCUCGCGGUCUAUCAGCUUGUUGGUGGGGUAACGGCCCACCAAGGCGACGACGGAUAGCUGGUCUGAGAGGACGAUCAGCCACACUGGGACUGAGACACGGCCCAGACUCCUACGGGAGGCAGCAGUAGGGAAUCUUGCGCAAUGGGGGAAACCCUGACGCAGCGACGCCGCGUGCGGGAUGAAGGCCUUCGGGUUGUAAACCGCUUUCAGCAGGGACGAAAUUGACGGUACCUGCAGAAGAAGGCCCGGCC